rnacentral:lncRNA from 1 species
UUUGAUUUUACAGAGACGACAGGCUUUGGAAUUUACUAGGAAGCUGGCUAAAAUCCAUACCCCUAGGCCCUACACCAGACCUUUACUGAAACAUAAUAGUUGUAGUGCCCAGGAAUCUACAUUUUUAACCAGCCUUCCUGCGUGAUUCUAAUCUAUGCCAAAAUUUAAGAACAUUAUUCAAACUCUAAUUUGAUAAACCAAUUGACUCUAAUAGCAGGAACCUUGUUCUGAUUCUCUUGUUCAUAAUUAAGUGUAUAUAUACUGGUAAAAUUAAUUUAUUCCACAGUCAACCUUCUCUUCUCAUUGGGACAUUUUGUUCCCAUUUUCCAAGUAACUUCUCUUUCUACAAAAAUUGAUCCAAUAUUGAAGAACCAUCUGCGAUUCAUUUGGGUAAAAUUAUGCCUUCUUCAGUUUUCUGUAUCAUUCCCUAUAAGAUGCCCAUUUGCUUUGAAUGUGGUAUCUUUCUUUUCUUUCUUUCUUUUUUUUUUUUUUUUUGAGACAGAGUUUUGUUCUUCUUGUUGCCCAGGCUAUAGUGCAAUGGCAAGAUCUCGGCUCAUUGCAACCUCCACCUCCCGGGUUCAAGCGAUUCUCCUGCCUCAGCCUCCUGAGGAGCUGAGUUUA